AGGGGGCUCGCGGCGCGUCGGCGCAUGUGCGGCGAGCGGCGCGGUGGCCCGCGAGGCGCGGGUUGUCAGUGAGCCGCGAGGAGCCGGCGCCGCGGUGCCAGCGUCUGUCUGCCCGCCGGUUCGCCUGCUGCGGGGCUGCGGGUCCGCCCUGCGCGCCGCUAGCGGAGCAUCUCCGACCGCGCACCUGCCCCGCGCAUCUGUCCGCCACCCUCCGCCAGGCCCCGCGCUGGGCUCCGCUCGCGCCAGCCGUCCAGGCACCGCGCGGGCCCCGGCCCGGCCCUGCCCCCGCGUCCGCCCCGCGCUGCAGCCGGGCGGGGCGCAGCGCUGCGGAGGCGAGGGCCGCGGGGCCGGGUCCGCGCGGCGCGGCGAUGAUGAACAGGUUCCGAAAGUGGCUGUACAAACCCAAGAGGUCGGACCCGCAGCUGCUUGCCCAGUUCUACUAUGCGGAUGAGGAGCUGAACCAGGUGGCCGCUGAGCUGGACAGUCUGGAUGGGCGGAAGGACCCCCAGCGGUGCACACUGCUUGUCAGCCAGUUCCGCUCCUGCCAGGACAACGUGUUAAACAUCAUUAACCAGAUCAUGGACGUGUGCAUUCCCCAGGACCGGGCCCCGCGGGAUUUUUGUGUCAAGUUCCCUGAGGAAAUCCGGCAUGACAACCUGGCAGGCCAGCUGUGGUUUGGUGCUGAGUGCCUGGCCGCUGGCUCCAUCAUCAUGAACCGUGAGCUGGAGAGCAUGGCCAUGCGCCCGCUGGCCAAGGAGCUGACCCGCAGCCUGGAGGACGUGCGGGGCGCCCUCCGAGACCAGGCGCUGCGUGACCUCCACACCUACACGGAGAAGAUGCGGGAGGCGCUGAGACACUUCGAUGUCCUGUUUGCUGAGUUCGAGCUGAGCUACGUCUCAGCCAUGGUGCCUGUGAAGUCUCCCAGGGAGUACUACGUGCAGCAGGAGGUCAUCGUGCUGUUCUGUGAGACCGUGGAGAGGGCCCUGGACUUCGGGUACCUGACCCAAGACAUGAUUGACGACUACGAACCGGCCCUCAUGUUCACCAUCCCCAGGUUGGCCAUCGUGUGUGGCCUCGUGGUCUAUGCAGAUGGACCUCUGAACUUGGACCGCAAGGCAGAAGACAUGUCCGAGCUAUUCCGGCCCUUCCACACGCUGCUGCGAAAAAUAAGGGACUUGCUGCAGACCCUGACAGAGGACGAGCUUCACACACUGGAAAGGAACCUCUGCAUUUCCCAGGACGUGGAAUUCCCCAUCCGGGCAGACACCCCGGUACCCCCCGCCCUGACACCCGCCUUUCCCCACUCACCCCUCCCCACGGAGGAGCUGCUCUCAGCCAAGGCCAAGACCCCGGAGGCAGAGCUGGCCUGUUCCAUGCAGUAUGACAGCCAGGAGCUAGAGCAGCUCGACCGCAUGGUCCAUAGGGCAGGGGAUGAGAUGUCAUCCCUCCUCUCCCCGCCCAGCGCCUGCCAGUCCCCCGCACACCGGCCAGGGGUGGAGGGUAGCCCCCGUGGGGAGGCAUCCCCAGGCAGCGCUCGGCUGCGGCCGGGCAGCGACGAGGAAGAAGGAAGGGUAUUUUUCAUGGAUGACGUGGAGGGGGCUGCCGAGGCCCCAGGAGGCCCAUCUGGGUGGGCAGGCAGUGCCCGCGCUGACCCCCAGGAGAGAGGGCCAGGCGGAGGGCACACAGAGGCCAGAGGUAGCGGUCCCUCCGAGGCAGAGGAGGGGGACAUGAGCAAUAACAACGACGUCCCUCAUGACAAGAUGUGGGCGCUGGGUCCCAACUCCUGCAGCUGCCUGGAUGCGCAGCCGCACCUGGAUGGCUGGGAGGGGGGUGGGGACGCUGCGCAGACGGCCGAGAUGAUUGCCCACCGGACCGGGGGCAUGAAGCUCUCAGCUACUGUUAUCUUCAAUCCCAAAUCAACCCCUGCAGGGGGCUCUGCCGUCACCACCCCGGAAGCCUCUGAAGACGGCAUCUCCCUGCCGGGGCCUGUGGCCCAGGGGACACACAGUGGCUCCCACAAACUCAGUACUGCGGCCACCAGCUGCCUCCUUAACUCCUGCGUAUGCUGCGGGGCCUGCGGUGGCGGCAGGGAGGACAGCGCCGCCCAGAGUCUACAUGACAAGUGUGGCCCCAGAAGCGUCAUUAGCGCCUCUUACGUGGGCUCUGCCAAGGCCAGCGCCAAGGGCUCUGCUGAGAGAUGGGAGGAGGCCCGGCCUGUGCCGGAGGCAUUGCCCUUAGAGGAUGCCUCUACUUCCAAGUGCCUGACACACACCUCGGGGCCUCUGCUGGACACAGUGGACAGGUCACCUGGAGCGGCCAAUGGUGCCAGUCCAAAAAGGGAGCCUCAGGCUGGACCGCCAAACUCAGGGCAGCCGUCGAAGGCCAGGGUGGAAAAUCAGCAGGGAGAGGUGGCCGAGGAGGAGCCUCAGCGCCUGUCGGACUCCAGGCAGGUCUUGCUGCUGGCCAUGGGGUUGUGCCAGACUCUGCUGCUCCAGACAGUGCAAACAUCUUCUAUUUCUGAUAAAGCUGUUUUUGAGAUGCAAGCCCAGCUUCCUCGGCCAUGUCUAGAGGAAUGAACUAUUGUCACAAGCUGCUGGAUGGCUUUCUUCCUUGGGAUCCUCUGCAGAGUUGAUUAUUGGUAAGUGAAUCAUUCUUCAGCAAGGAUGAUAGGAAAUCAUCAGAAAUUCUUCGACAGGUAUGUUGCUUUUUCAGUUUUUGACCUGCCUCCCUUCUCCAGUCCAGAUGGUAGACACCUACUCUGUCUCCUGCUCUCCCAGCAUUUCCCAUGGUGGACACUGCUCGUUUGCAUCACAAAGAUGACUUCCCGGGCCCUAUCCAGCUUUGCUCAAACAUUGAAGCUGAGCUGAGGAAAGGAAAGGGAAGGCCUACUGUGGCCUUGAGACAGCGCCACCUUCCUGGGGAGCUUCCAGAAGGUGCAGAGGGCCUGAGGAGGGAGAAACGUGGCAGGUGGCUGGUGAUCAGGACAGCCAUGCGUCUGGGCCAAGACUUCGGACAGCGGUGGCCCCCCAUCCCACGCCAAGGGCAGCGAGAACCGGGCCAGCCAGGUGUUAGCACGUGGUGCCCAUGGUCUGCCAGCUGCAAACACAUCAGGAUCAUCUCUCCCUCAGGUCACAGGCUGACCUCAUGGAGUGUGAUCUAACGCUAGUGCAGGCGUGACAGAGCAGGGAGACCCUUAACAUGGACAGACACAAAAGACCAGUCUCCCGCAGGCGGAAAGUUUGCCAAGAUUCUAGCAUAGAGAUUCCUGGAUGUCUGGGGUGCUGCUCCCCUCAUGAUGUCUAGAGGCUUCACGAUGGAGACCACAGGGCUCAAGUGCAGGGACAGGGGCUCAUUCCUCCCGUUCUGCAGACAGGGAGGCCAGUGUCCUGGAGAGGCAGCUGGCCUGUAGCUCCCUGCCUUUCUGCUGGCCCGCAGGGGCUGCCGCAGCCCCAGGGGCUGGCAAGUGGCCAGAGGAGGGAGCAUCAGGCAUGGUGCUAGGCUUGCGAGCUCCCAGCCCCACGGUCUGGCCAGGAGGUCACUCAGGGGCAGCCUCACUCCUCUGUGAGCGACACAGAGCUGGCCCAGGCAGGAAGCAUAUGGAGCUGCAUCUCCCUGAAGACACAGGGAGCGAAUUCCAUGGUGAAGCAGAAGCCUGAUGGAAGGACGAGGCACUGGGGGCUGUGCCAGAUUAGCCAGAGGGUCUGGGCCAGAGAAGUGUCUUCUGGGGUGUUCCCCCAGGCCCUACAACAUGGGCCAAUUCCAUCAGUGCCAUCAGUGCCAUUUCCAGGGUGCUGGGUCAUGGCCCCCAACAGAGUCCUUGGCAGAAUGUUCUGGAACCAUGCAUCCCUCAGCUCUUUUAUUGGCUUCUCUCCUACAUUUUCAGGAAAACUUAAGAUCUUUUUAAAGGGAAAGUUAGCAUUUUUCAAGAGCUUAUUGUUCCCUGUCUAGAUUUAACUCACUGUUCCAGAAUCUUCCAUGCUCUUGAAGCCUGAAUAAGCCACUUGUCUACAGCACGGAAGCUCAGCCUGCCUCAAAUCUGUUUUUGUUCUUUCCUAGGACAUUUGACUAGAGCGUCUCCAUCCUGUUGCUUCUUUAAAAAAUUCCACAGGCUCGCUUUUUUCUUAUAAUAAACAUGGCCCCGUUCAUUGUAGAGACUUUGAAAAACAUAAGAAGAAAAACAAAAGGAAAUAAAAAUUACCCCGAAUCCUAUGAGCAGUUUUAGUUUUUUCACGACGUUAUGAUCAUUUCUCUGGAAAGUGCUUGAAAAACACUAUUUCCGUUUAAUUCUACUAUAUCCUAAGGACAUAAGGACAUACCUAGUUUAUUCUAUGUUUUCCCACGUCUGUAUGUCUUUCUGUGUUGAGCUGGUCCUAUGGCCCCUCUGCCUUAGGGAUCUGUGUUUGCCCCUGGGGUUAAGUCUUCAGAGUAGAUUCUUGGUAGGGUCACCACGCCAAAGGCGUAGAAAGUCUGUGGCGUCUUCCUGCCCCUUGCCGCCACAUACGGUCAGAUUGCUCUCCAGACAUAUGCCGAUGUACCAAUUUGUCUCAGCGGGUGCCCCUCCCCCCUGUUGAGACUUGAGAGUGAAACACGAAUCCCUGGGUGUGGUAGUUGGCUUUCCUCUGACAGUUGGUACCCCCCCCCCCCCCGCCCCGUGCUUCUUCCUUAUCCGUGUGUGAAGCGACUGCUCCUGUUUUCCAGCUGGGUUUUCAUGACUUGUUUACUGAUUUGAAAGCAUUCCUUCUGUCUGGUGUGUCUGCUGGGGACAGAUUUACCCCACGUGCUCCUUGCCCACCGAUUCCAUGUGUUGAUGUCCUUUGAUUUAUAGAAGCCUUAUAUAGAAGUUAUAUUUAUGAAAAUUCCAGAGAAGCCUUGUGGUUCUUGCUUUGCAUAUUUUCUCUGGCUGGUUGUGCACCUCCCAACCCUCCUUGCCCCCAGGCCAGGGCAUUGUCUCCUCUUUGGCUCCUGCCCUGUGGCUUGCUUCAUUCCACCGCUAACUCUGACCCAUUUUCGGAGGUCCAGGGGUCCUGCUUUCCAAGACCAUCUCUGAGCACUGGAGAGAGCGUGACUAUCAGGGCUGAUGGCCAUCCUGACGCUCAGGCAGGGUUGCUCCCCUGUCCCACGUGGAGGCCUGCUCUGCAGGAUUCGUUCUCCAGCUGCAUUCGCGAAUCUGGCUGGCGGUCCCCCUGCAUCUCCCUCAUGCAGCUGGUGGGCCUCCCCGGCUGUCAUUUGGGGUCGAAUGUUAAGAAUCUGGGAGGGCUGUCCUCAGCACAGGCUUCUGAGCCUCUGUCCUCAACAGGCGAUGUAUGCUCUGACCCAGUGUUCCAUCCCUGCAGAGGGGAACAGCUGACACGCCUCCCCUGUUGUACCCCUCACCUGUCUGGGUAGUGGUGUCAGAGGCCCCACUUCCCCGCACCUACAGAGGCAGUGGGAGGCUAUGUGCAAGGGAGGGAGGGCACCUGUGGCUGGAUGCUUGACCUCAGCCUCCCUGAGCCUCUGUUUUGUGGGCCACAAAAUGGGCCAACAAUGGUCACCAGCUCAGGUGGGUCUGGGGGAGUAGCUGAGAAGCCACGGAAUGUUGCUCCUGGUUGUUACAUUGCGUUUUCCUUGUUAUUCAUCUUCAUUACUCCCUGUUUCUCACCCAUUAUUUCCUCGGUGCGUGGCUCAGGGGUGUUACUGUUCCUUGCUGUCUUGCUGUUCGAGUCUUGGCUUUCCCUCCCCAUUGCAUCACUGGAUUUCACUGUUUCCAGCCUUGUUCCCACUCUGCAUGGGUGGCGUGACCACUGGCAGGGUGACUUGCAGCCCUUGGAGGGACUGUCCCAAGCUGAUGGGCUGUGGACAACUCCGGCCUCCAGCCCCACCUCUGCCUGAUCUUGAGUCUCCCCUGGCUCCUUUUCCAGUUGAUGCCUUGCCUUUCUCUGUACUGUGGCUCUGUCAUGGACCCCCCCACCCCCACUGAGCUCCUCUGUCUGUUGCCGGGGUUGGGACCCAGGUUCAGGGGCGUCGGGCCCUGGGGAUGCCCAGGGUCCAGCCCCCAGCUGGCAUCCUGUGUUUCCUGGAGCCCCCUGGGCCCCAGUGACCCACCUCCCCAGAAGGAAGGAACCAUUUGACAUCGCUGUCUGAGACCCCAUGGACCCUGGCCCUGCCUCCAUGGCCAGCCCAGGGAAGGGCGGCAUGUGGCUGCACAGACCGAGCUUCCUCCAGAAGCAUGUGGUGAGCGGGGAGGCCUCUAUCAAAUGGAAAUCUUCCCCAGAGGCAAGGCCUCCAUCACGUGGAAAACUUCCCCAGAAGUGGCUCUUCUGAUGUGCCGUGUGCAUGCCUCCCCCCAACAGCUUUCCCUCUAGCAGAUGGAUUCAGGUCAGCUCCUCUGUGCUGGGAUCAGCCCUGCCCCCGGUAUCUUCUGGCCACCAAAACCCGGCAGGGCGUGACUCCCUUCCCAGUGUAUGAUCCAUAGCCUCAACUCCUGAUGCUGGUGGUGGGGCUGGUUGGAGCUGCCCCGGGGAUCGAGUCCUGAGCCAGCACCUUCAAAGGGAAGGGGGUGUGGGUCAGGCAUGGGAGCAGAAAGGACUGUGCUGGCUGGGCCAGUUGACCACUCAAUGACCUGAGAUGCGGAGGAGCGGUUUCCCAGCCGGGCCCGCCUGCCGCGUGGCUGGUUCUUCCUGGGGGCUUGGCAGAAGAGCAGCUCCAGGAUGGUGUGAUUGGGGGCAGAACUACCCCAACCUCUCUCUGGCAGCUGUGGGGCCCUGGGCUUGUGUCCACCCCAUUGGGACACACCCAUCAUUGCCCAGAGCUGUUCUGGGGCCGGACUGCUGGGUGUGGGCCGUGCUGCUGCAGCCCUCAGUCCCUGGGGCAAGUGUCUCCUCCGCUGUGCAAAGAACUCCGAGCUCUCCCACCACGUCUGGUCCCUGGAAAGAAAAACAAGAAUGAUUGAGCAGGUUAAAAAUAGAGAAGGACUUGGAAUUAAUUUGACUCUUGAAAAGCAGAUGAGGCGUGAUGACUGUUAGCAAGUGCACGGCCGAGCUUGGGCAGGCCGGGAGCUGAGCGCAGGCAUGCGGUCAGAGGGCAAGUCAGGGCCGGGCUCUCACCUGAGCCCCUCACAGGCACCCCCCAUGCACACUGCAGCAAGCACAGUGACUAAGGCCCAGAUCGCUAGAACCCCACAGGCCCACUACAACCCUAUAAGGCCACGGGGUAGGCUCGCACACGGUAAGCAUUUGAGCAGGGGUCCUGGGAAGGGUGCUGCCCUUCUUGUUGACGGACCUCCCUGGUGUUAGGGUCCUUAUUACAAACUCCCAGCCAGGGGUGGAGCUAGCCUGGCUGAGGGGUGGCCGUGACUACCUGGUGAGUGGGCACCCAGGACAGCUCCAUCCUGGCCUCUGCCCCCUGGUGACCCACCCAGCAUGACCUUAAAAGGCCCCCCUCAUUCCAGAGAGCUCCUUCCUCCAGGCUGGCUGCCUCCCUGAACCCCACACUUCUCAAGUCCUCUCACCCUAAUGCUCUCUCUGCCUACUGCUCUCUCUCACCAUCGUCAGCACACGACUGGGCCCCUCCCUCUCUUUCCUCCACCGGCCCCACCUGUCCUUCCACUGGUGCCUGCAUAAGAUGGAGAGUGACAGGUGGAGUCUGAGGCAGCCCCUGCAGUUGGAGCAAUCAGGGGAGGCCUCCCUGGGGCGGGGACAUUUCCAAGACCUGAAUGGAUGGCAUGGGAGAAGGGAGAUGUUCCUCAGGCCCUAGGUCCAGCAAAGGUCAAGGUGCCAGAUGUUCUAACCCGGGCUGUUCCGACGGUGUGAAGUAGUGUCCACUGCGGUUCCAGUCGGCACGCCCUUGAGGACUAGUGACACUUAGUGUCUUUUCAUGUGCUCGUUUGCCAUCAGCCUGCCUUCUUUGGUCAAACAUCUACUCUAUUCAGAUUUUUUGCUGUUUCUUUCAUUUGGUUGUUUCCUUGAGUUUUGAGAGUUCCUCAUUCAUUUGGGGGUACUUUAUCAGAUAUAAUUUGCAAAUAUUUUCUCCCAGUCUGUGGAUUGUCUUCUCAUUCUGAGUGUCUUUUGAAGAAUAGAAGUCCUUAAUUUUUAUGAAGUCCACAGUUUGUCAACUUCCUUCUUUCAUGGAUUGCAAUUUUGCUGUCAUAGCUAAGAAUUAUUUUUAUAACCCCAAAUGACAAAGGUUUCUCUUCUAGAAGCCUUAUAUUUUUUGUUUUACAUUUAGGUCUGUAAUCCAUUUGGGGCUACCUUUGUAUAUGAUGUGAGGUACGGAUCAAAGUUUUUUUUUUGUUUUGCAUAAGGGAAACCAAUUGUUUCAGCACCAUUUGUUGAAAAAGCCCAUCCCUUCUCUACUGAAUUUCUCUUCCUCAGAUCAGUCAGCCACAUGCAUGUGGCUUUAUUUCUGGACUCACUAGUCUGCCUCAUUGAUCUGUCUGCAGGGACACCAAUACCACACUGUCUUGAUUAUGGUAGCUUUAUAAUGAGCCUUAAAAUCAGGUAGUAUAAAUCUACAACUUCUUUUUCAAAGUUUGUUUUGCUUUUUCUGUGUUCUCUGUAUUUUAUGUGAAUUUUAGAAUCAAGUUGUCAAUUUAUAUGAAAAACAAAAGCAAAACCAAAAACAAAGCCUACUAGGUCUUUGGAAUUUUGUUGAAUCUACAGAUCAACUUGGGAAGAAUUAACCCCUUAAUAAUAUCAAGUCUUCCAACUCAUGAACGUAGUACACCCCUCCUUUUGGUUAGGUUUUUAAUUUUCUCAGCAAAGUCUCACAGUUUUUAUUGUAGAAGUCAUGCCCAUCUUUUGUCAGGUCAGAUUAAUUUCUAAGUAUUUUACAAUUUUGAUGCUAUCAUAAAUGAUAUUGUCUUAUAAUUUUGAUUUCCAGUUUUGAUGGCUAAUAUAGGGAGCUGUAUCUGAGGGCUGUAUACCAGUGUUGUCUCUUGUGACUUUGCGGAACUCCCUUCAUUACUUAUAAAGGUUCUUACAAAGAUUCAUCAGACUUCCUAUGGAUGAUGCUGUCACCUGUGAAAAAAGCCAAUUUUAUGUCUCCUUUUCCAUUGGAUGUGGUUUACUUCUUUUUCUUGCAUGUUUGCCCUAGCAAGGACCUCUAAUACAAUGUUGACUAGAAAUGUUGACACAGGAUGUUUUUGCCUUAUUCUUGAUCUCAGAAGGAAAGCAUUUACUAUCUACUGUUGGCUGUAGGAUUUUCAUAGUGCUCUUAAUCAGGUUCAGGAAGUUCUCCUUUAUCCCCAGUUUGCUGAGAGUUUUUAUCAAGAAUAGAUGGCUUGGGGCGCCUGGGUGGCUCAGUGGGUUAAAGCCUCUGCCUUUGGCUCAGGUCAUGAUCCCAGGGUCCUGGGGCUCAUGAUCCCAGGGUCCUGGGAUCGAGCCCCGAAUUGGGCUCUCUGCUCAGCAGGGAGCCUGCUUCCUCCUCUCUCUCUGCCUGCCUCUCUGCCUACUUGUGAUCUCUGCCUGUCAAAUAAAUAAAUAAAAUCUUUAAAAAAAAAAAAAAAAGAAUAGAUGGCUUUUCUGAAAUGCUUUUUCUCCAUCUUUUGUGAUCAUAUCAUUAUCUUUUAGCCUGCUAAUGUGAUAAAUGGCAUCGAUGGAUAUUCAGAUGUUAAGUUAACCUAACAUUCCUGGGAACCUUACUUGGUCACUAGGAUUGGGUAUCAGAGCAAAGCUGAGAUCCUGGGUGGCUCCACGGACCAGGCCGGGUUGGAGGCCGCCUCCUCGACCACAAGAGAGAAGAUCCGGUCCAGGUUCCAUGGCAGCCACGACCUCAUCCAC